UGGGGAAUAUUGGACAAUGGGCGCAAGCCUGAUCCAGCCAUGCCGCGUGGGUGAUGAAGGCCCUAGGGUUGUAAAGCCCUUUCGGCGGGGAAGAUAAUGACGGUACCCGCAGAAGAAGCCCCGGCUAACUUCGUGCCAGCAGCCGCGGUAAUACGAAGGGGGCUAGCGUUGCUCGGAAUCACUGGGCGUAAAGCGCACGUAGGCGGAUUGCUAAGUCAGGGGUGAAAUCCUGGAGCUCAACUCCAGAACUGCCUUUGAUACUGGCGAUCUUGAGUCCGGGAGAGGUGAGUGGAACUGCGAGUGUAGAGGUGAAAUUCGUAGAUAUUCGCAAGAACACCAGUGGCGAAGGCGGCUCACUGGCCCGGUACUGACGCUGAGGUGCGAAAGCGUGGGGAGCAAACAGG
rnacentral:rRNA from 1 species